rnacentral:rRNA from 1 species
AGAGUUUGAUCCUGGCUCAGGAUGAACGCUAGCUACAGGCUUAACACAUGCAAGUCGAACGGGAAACCUUUUAUUGAAGCUUCGGCAGAUUUAGAUUGUUUCUAGUGGCGCACGGGUGAGUAACACGUAUCCAACCUGCCUCAUACUCGGGGAUAGCCUUUCGAAAGAAAGAUUAAUACCGGAUGGCAUAGUUUUCCCGCAUGGGAUAAUUAUUAAAGAAUUUCGGUUGUCGAUGGGGAUGCGUUCCAUUAGGCAGUUGGCGGGGUAACGGCCCACCAAACCAACGAUGGAUAGGGGUUCUGAGAGGAAGGUCCCCCACAUUGGAACUGAGACACGGUCCAAACUCCUACGGGAGGCAGCAGUGAGGAAUAUUGGUCAAUGGACGAGAGUCUGAACCAGCCAAGUAGCGUGAAGGAUGACUGCCCUAUGGGUUGUGAACUUCUUUUAUACGGGAAUAAAGUUAGCCACGUGUGGCUUUUUGUAUGUACCGUAUGAAUAAGGAUCGGCUAACUCCGUGCCAGCAGCCGCGGUAAUACGGAGGAUCCGAGCGUUAUCCGGAUUUAUUGGGUUUAAAGGGAGCGUAGGCGGGUUGUUAAGUCAGUUGUGAAAGUUUGCGGCUCAACCGUAAAAUUGCAGUUGAUACUGGCGACCUUGAGUGCAACAGAGGUAGGCGGAAUUCGUGGUGUAGCGGUGAAAUGCUUAGAUAUCACGAAGAACUCCGAUUGCGAAGGCAGCUUACUGGAUUGUAACUGACGCUGAUGCUCGAAAGUGUGGGUAUCAAACAGGAUUAGAUACCCUGGUAGUCCACACAGUAAACGAUGAAUACUCGCUGUUGGCGAUAUACAGUCAGCGGCCAAGCGAAAGCAUUAAGUAUUCCACCUGGGGAGUACGCCGGCAACGGUGAAACUCAAAGGAAUUGACGGGGGCCCGCACAAGCGGAGGAACAUGUGGUUUAAUUCGAUGAUACGCGAGGAACCUUACCCGGGCUUAAAUUGCAACUGACUGAACCGGAAACGGUUCUUUCUUCGGACAGUUGUGAAGGUGCUGCAUGGUUGUCGUCAGCUCGUGCCGUGAGGUGUCGGCUUAAGUGCCAUAACGAGCGCAACCCUUAUCGAUAGUUACUAGCAGGUCAUGCUGAGGACUCUAUUGAGACUGCCGUCGUAAGAUGUGAGGAAGGUGGGGAUGACGCCAAAUCAGCACGGCCCUUACGUCCGGGGCUACACACGUGUUACAAUGGGGGGUACAGAAGGCAGCUACACGGCGACGUGGUGCUAAUCCCCGAAAGCCUCUCUCAGUUCGGAUUGGAGUCUGCAACCCGACUCCAUGAAGCUGGAUUCGCUAGUAAUCGCGCAUCAGCCACGGCGCGGUGAAUACGUUCCCGGGCCUUGCACUCACCGCCCGUCA